GCCAGCCCGCUGGGAGAAGCCGCUUCGAUGCGGUGCCGAAGGAGCAACCGCCCCGGAAACUCUCAGGCAAAAGGACCAGCAGGCAACC
rnacentral:ncRNA from 2 species